rnacentral:lncRNA from 10 species
GGAGUGAUAACUACUUAAACUUCCAAAUGAAGUGGUUCAAAAUGUGCGGAGCACAGGAAGGAGUGGGAAGAGGUGAAAAAUGACUCAGAACAAGCUGCUCAUGGGUUGGUCCCCCCUGCUUCACCACCACAGGAAUGAUCCUGCACCCCUUUGGGGCACUCUGGCCAAAUGCCCCCAGCUCUAGGAGGACACUGAUGGCAGGACAUCCCCUGGACAUAUCUCCCCACACAAGGAGCUCUAGUCUCUGCUUGGUUUGUGAAAAAUUGAGUUUGGCACCAGCUUCUCUGGAUUUUGAAAACAUCUGGUGAUUAUGAGGAGAAGCAGCAAGGUGGAAGGAGCCUGGGUCCUGACGCCCAACAGGACUGAGUCUACUUCCUGCUACCCCAGGUGUGUGACCUUAGGCAGCCCAUCUCACUUCCCAGACUUCAGGGUCUUCUCUCCCUUACAGGGUGAUUGUGAGACUGAAAUGGCAUAAGAGAGAGUGUCUGGCACACAGUAGGCACAUGAUGAGUGUCUUCAUUCUUUCGUUUCUUUUCUUCUCUGUAUCUUCAAGUUUCCAGAGAAGAUUAGAAAUCAAUUGUAAAACUGCAUAGGACUCAAUGGCAUCAAUCAAUUUCUUAAAUUACCAUUAAAUAUAAUUGUCAGCAGAAGAGAGCCGAAAAACAUGCAUCCAGAAUCCAACAAAACGAGCUGAAUCUCACUCUGUGGACUGAUGGCAAAUUGGCUGAGUUCCUAUUCCUCCCUUUUUUUUUAAUGCUGCAGAGAUGAGGUAACACCAACACCCAGGCCGCAAAAGCAAAUGUCUCAAUGUAUUUGUUUUUCUAGUUUAAUCCAUUUCGACUAUGAAAGGCAGACUGUCAUCUAGAACAAAGUAGCCCAACGAUAAUUUG